CACACACAUAUGAGAUUGGAAAGAAACACUGGCCAAUUACAUCCUAAGUGUAGGAACUGUGAUAUAAGGAUGGGCAAGUUUUCUUUAACAUCACAAGGGUCUCUCACACAGUGAGUAGGGUUUUCUAAUAAUCCUUGCUACCAAG
rnacentral:snoRNA from 1 species